AUUGAACGCUGGCGGCAUGCCUUACACAUGCAAGUCGAACGGCAGCACGGGUGCUUGCACCUGGUGGCGAGUGGCGAACGGGUGAGUAAUACAUCGGAACAUGUCCUGUAGUGGGGGAUAGCCCGGCGAAGGCCGGAUUAAUACCGCAUACGAUCCACGGAUGAAAGCGGGGGACCUUCGGGCCUCGCGCUAUAGGGUUGGCCGAUGGCUGAUUAGCUAGUUGGUGGGGUAAAGGCCUACCAAGGCGACGAUCAGUAGCUGGUCUGAGAGGACGACCAGCCACACUGGGACUGAGACACGGCCCAGACUCCUACGGGAGGCAGCAGUGGGGAAUUUUGGACAAUGGGCGAAAGCCUGAUCCAGCAAUGCCGCGUGUGUGAAGAAGGCCUUCGGGUUGUAAAGCACUUUUGUCCGGAAAGAAAUCCUUGACUCUAAUACAGUCGGGGGAUGACGGUACCGGAAGAAUAAGCACCGGCUAACUACGUG
rnacentral:rRNA from 1 species